ACUCAAAGGAAUAGACGGGGGCCCGCACAAGCGGAGGAGCAUGUGGCUUAAUUCGAUGCAACGCGAAGAACCUUACCCAGACUCGACUUGUGACUGCACGGCCGCUGAAAGGCGGUUUCCUUCGAGGGUGUCACACAGGUGCUGCAUGGCUGUCGUCAGUUCGUGCCGUGAGGUGUUCGGUUAAGUCCGUCAACGAACGCAACCCCUGCCGCCAAUUGCCAACGGGUAAUGCCGGGAACUUUGGCGGGACCGCCCCUUCAAACGGGAGGAAGGUGGGGAUGAUGUCAAGUCAGCAUGGCCCUUACGUCUGGGGCCGCACACGUGCUACAAUGGGAAGUACAGAAGGAUGCGAUAUCGCGAGAUGGAGCAAACCCCUUAAAACUUCCCCCAGUUCGGAUUGGAGUCUGCAACCCGACUCCAUGAAGUUGGAUUCGCUAGUAACGGCGCAUCAGCAUUCGGCGCCGUGAAUACGUUCCCGGGCCUUGCACACACCGCCCGU
rnacentral:rRNA from 1 species